rnacentral:rRNA from 1 species
ACACGACUACAUUAGAUACCCGGGUAGUCCCAGCCGUAAACUAUGCGCGUUAGGUGUACUGGUGACCACGAGUCACCGGGGUGCCGAAGGGAAACCGCGAAACGUGCCGCCUGGGAAGUACGGUCGCAAGGCUGAAACUUAAAGGAAUUGGCGGGGAGCACCACAACAGGUGGAGCCUGCGGUUUAAUUGGACUCAACGCCGGGAAGCUCACCGGAUAGGACAGCAGAAUGAUUGCCGGGCUGAAGACCCUGCAUGACUAGCUG